UUUUCUUCCCUCUCUUAUUCCCUUAUCAUGUGACAUAAGAUGUAUUGACUCUAUAUCACAAUACUUAAGUAUUGUUAAUUUUACAUCAUAGGAUUCACAACUAGAAGA